rnacentral:lncRNA from 10 species
CCCACCCCUGCAAAACAACAGCAAAAACCUUUACCAGGCUCUAUAACAGGGGGACCAAACUUGUUUUUGCUCAUCAUUGCCUCACAAGGUACCUGGCACCAGUGAGCACUUGGUAAAUAUUAGAUAAAUGCACAACUGACUGCUUCUUUAGCAAACUGGAUGAUAGAAUAUGUUCUUACAUUGUACCUCAGAUUGUGGGUAUCCAGUUAUGUUGGCUUGUACUGGAUUACAAAUUAAUCUUACAAGCAAUGUGACUUCAGCAAGCAAAGGAAAAUGUUAUAAUAGUACACAUUUCCAUAGGAUGUUCCAGAUGACCUUGAUGGUGCCCCCAUCGAGGAAGAGCUUGAUGGUGCACCUCUGGAAGAUGUAGAUGGAAUUCCUAUUGAUGCUACUCCCAUCGAUGAUCUUGAUGGAGUCCCUAUAAAAAGUCUUGAUGAUGAUCUUGAUGGAGUGCCUUUGGAUGCAACUGAAGACUCAAAAAAGAAUGAGCCUAUAUUUAAAGUUGCCCCAUCAAAAUGGGAAGCUGUGGAUGAAUCUGAAUUGGAAGCACAGGGUG